rnacentral:rRNA from 1 species
UACGAAGGGGGCUAGCGUUGUUCGGAAUUACUGGGCGUAAAGCGCACGUAGGCGGACUUUUAAGUCAGGGGUGAAAUCCCGGGGCUCAACCUCGGAACUGCCUUUGAUACUGGAAGUCUUGAGUAUGGAAGAGGUAAGUGGAAUCGCGAGUGUAGAGGUGAAAUUCGUAGAUAUUCGCAGGAACACCAGUGGCGAAGGCGGCUUACUGGUCCAUUACUGACGCUGAGGUGCGAAAGCGUGGGGAGCAAACAGG